UACGAACCGUCCAAACGUUAUUCGGAUUUAUUGGGCUUAAGGGGUAUGUAGGCGGCCCUUCAAGUCGGGUGUGAAAGCCCUCGGCUCAACCGAGGAACUGCGCCCGAUACUGUGGGGCUUGAGGGAGACAGAGGUAAGCGGAACUGAUGGUGGAGCGGUGAAAUGCGUUGAUAUCAUCAGGAACACCAGUGGCGAAAGCGGCUUACUGGGUCUCUUCUGACGCUGAGAUACGAAAGCUAGGGGAGCGAACGGG
rnacentral:rRNA from 1 species